ensembl:lncRNA
UUUUUUUAAAGAAACCCUUAUAACUGCUAUCAUCUCAUAAGAAAGAAGUGACAAGGUCAUCCCAAAACCACUAGGCGGAAAGCAGUGUGAACUUUUCAGGUGCUAACCCAAUCCAGUUGAGCCCUCCGAGCAGCUCAGAUGCUAACACGGCUAGUGCUAAUAUGGCUGCCAUUGAAGAAGAGUUGUGCGAACUCAGGUCACAAUUUAGAACAAGAUUCGAUGUCGUCGACCAGAAGCUGGUGGAUAUGACAAACAUUCUCACAACACUGAAGGACACAGUUAAAGAGAUAAAACAAGACGUGGUGAGCAACACAGCCCACAUCGACCAGGCUGAGACCCGCAUUGAUGAGACAGAAACAGCCCUGAGAUCAGCCAUCAAACGAAUCUCUCUUCUGGAAGCAAAAACCGAAGACCUGUAGAACCGAGGUAGGAGGAAGAACUUGCGUAUCCUUGGAAUAAAAGGGAGCUGAGGGGACAGGGCCACUCACUGACUUUAUAAAGGAAAUGUUCCCAGCAUGGCUGAGGCUGUCACCGCAAAGACAUUGGCGUUAGAACGUGUUCACCGUACGCUGGCUCCCGGGAGACCGAACCAGAACAGCGGUAGUGGUGCCGUUCUCGCUGCUUCAAGAGAAGGAGUUUGUCUACCGGGAGAGUAGAAAGAAGGACAUGAAACACGACGGGCUAAAAAUCCCUUUUACUCAGGACCUUUCAGCAGAAACGGUACGUGCUCGGAGAGGAUUUCAACCCGUGAUAAAGAACUUUAUCGACAUCAGGGCCUUCCGGGUUUCAGUACAAUCCGUGCAAGCUCAGGAUUCUGUAUAAAGGCAAGAUUCACCUUUUUUCAACACUGCAGGAAGCCGAACAUUUCUACAAAGGAAUCCCGCAAGCAACGGCAGAUACCGAGUGAAAGUAGCAGUUCCUCCUGAAGGUCAGAGAUUGCAGCAUCUGAGGGCCUCUUCAAAAGAAGACGUAGUUGAUGAAGGCGUUCUGGAGCAGGACCAGAAAGACCACGACCAAGCAGCCUUGAGAUCUUAGGCAGCGUCUCCCUCAGGUCCCUCUCUAUCUCCCCACACAUCCACCAACCACUGGAACACAUCUCCAAAGUUCUGCUGGACCAGCUCAGCUUCCCCUCAGAAGAAGUGCUGCCACCUGCCAGAUGAAGGAGCCUUUUGAGAGGCAGCUGGCAUCGUGAUUGGACUGUACUUUGGUCUGUUCCAAUCCAGCUUCAGCUCCAGAGACGGCAGGCGGGACGAGUCAACGGAGGCCUGGUGGACGAAGACAUGCAGCUGAGUACAAUCCAGAAAACAACAGAGGAGGAGGAAACAAACAUAGUAGUAUAGUAUAAAAUAUACAUAGUAUAUUGUAUAAAUAACAAGUCAAAGGAAAGAGACAUACAUUGUAGAAUUGUAGUAAUUGUGGGCUGACUGAUUUACUGAUUAUCAGUAUUUUAUUUUUACCGAUUUACAUUAAUAAAUACAUUUAAAAAUGGCGCUACUUUGGCUCUGAACCUUUAUCUACCUGUGGUCGCUCUGUCUUCCGGAGUGAUUUGAUUGGUUAUACGUCACGAAUAUAACUCCUUUAACUUAAUAUCUGUAAACAAAACAAAAACGUAUCAACAAAGUUUUCUGUUAGAGUUUGUGUUCUUCUAAGUUUAACUCCAAGAUUUUAAAUACUUUCAUUUACUGCAAAUGAAUAUCUACUCCAAAUGUCUCACUAAUAAUCAUU